rnacentral:ncRNA from 1 species
UGUAAGCGCAACGGGAGCUUGUGUGCAGGCUGAGAGGAAGUCAACAGACUUCGACCGUGAACUUGAUGCGGGUAAUGCCGCCGUAAGGACAGAUUUCAUGACAAUAA